UUGUAAGUUGUCUUUUGCUUCUUUGUUUUAUCACCAUGAGAUUCAUUACUCGUCUAGAUUAUUGAUUUACAGCUGAGCACCAAUCCCAAUCCUUCUAAGGAACAACUAGUCCAUGUCGUGGAGCAUCAUUUCUUAAAACAGGUAGGGUAGCAAACUCAGUGUGAUUUUUAAAUCAAAUAAAAUAGAAUAGAAAAAAUAACUCACAACGCUUGCCUUAUUUCUUUCCAUUUGCUUACACGAAGCAAUUGGAUGAGAUGCAGGUGAUCGUGGGUUUUAUUCAGACGGCAAAG
rnacentral:lncRNA from 1 species